GAUGAACGCUAGCUACAGGCUUAACACAUGCAAGUCGAGGGGAAACGACAUCGAAAGCUUGCUUUUGAUGGGCGUCGACCGGCGCACGGGUGAGUAACGCGUAUCCAACCCGCCCACCACUUGGGGAUAACCUUGCGAAAGUAAGACUAAUACCCAAUGAUAUCUCUAGAAGACAUCUGAAAGAGAUUAAAGAUUUAUCGGUGAUGGAUGGGGAUGCGUCUGAUUAGCUUGUUGGCGGGGUAACGGCCCACCAAGGCUACGAUCAGUAGGGGUUCUGAGAGGAAGGUCCCCCACAUUGGAACUGAGACACGGUCCAAACUCCUACGGGAGGCAGCAGUGAGGAAUAUUGGUCAAUGGACGAGAGCCUGAACCAGCCAAGUAGCGUGCAGGAUGACGGCCCUAUGGGUUGUAAACUGCUUUUAUAAGGGAAUAAAGUGAGUCUCGUGAGACUUUUUGCAUGUACCUUAUGAAUAAGGACCGGCUAAUUCCGUGCCAGCCGCCGCAGUAA
rnacentral:rRNA from 1 species